UGGGUAAGUCACUGUAGACACUGGAUGGCCUGCAGGGAUGAAAAUAUCAGAAAGUUGCAGAAAAUGUUUGCCAACUCCCGUCGUAGGGGAACACGAUUGCGUCUGUGUGUCGCUCUUGUAUCCGCAAUCUUGCUGACUGACUUCUUUUGGGGGUUUCUGUGCAGUUUUCCUUCUUUCUAGUCCUUGUAACUUAUUUUUCUCGCUGUCACUGGGCCGGCCACGACCUCUGUGCAGUGUGGAAAGGCAGUGAUUCGGGUCUUCGUCUGCCUCUGGUCUUAGCAAGCCUCGGGUUGCUUUGCUGUGGACUGUGGCUGGAUCCGCUGUGACAGAGGAAGCUGCCUACCUUCCUAGUUUAUGAGAGCUGGUUUUUAUUUGGCAAGUCAUAAAAGGGGGCUCGCUCAUGGCCCUUCGUCUCUGAGCCUCUCUUCUCUCCUAGGCAUGGUUCCCGGGGCGGGGGCGGCACCGGACCUUCCUUCUGUCCCCAGGCUGCACUCCGCAACAGCUACAUAAUUGAAUCUGCUACCAGAGGUCACUUUCUCCAGUCACCUGGCAUAGGCUACAAGAGCCAGCUGCCCAGACUCCUGGACAGAGGGCCACCCACACUCCUGACUCCUCUGUCUGUCUGACCUCAGGUCCCAGAGAGGUAAAUGGUUUGCCGGCCGUGUUCUGGGCAUAUGUGGUUGCCGUGCCUUGUGCAGCCUUGUGUCGUCAGGCUGCUCGGAUCCCAGUUUACAGGAACGGAGGGAGGGACUCUCAGACUGGGCCAUGUCUUCCCCCGACCAGGCUUCUGACGUUUUAUUGUCACAGGUGGUCAGAGCUGGAUGGCUUCUCAGGUCCACCUGACCGGAUGCCUUGCUUUACAGAAGUGAGAACACUGGCCCUACGAGGCUGACCAACUUGUCCAAGGUCACACUGCACAUGGCCCAGUUGAGACCUUUCUUCCGUGGUAAGAAAUGCAGCACAGCCCACGGUCUGGUCACAGAGCUCAGGGAGAGCCCUUCCUGUCUCAGUUCUGUCUGAGGGGCCACAGGCACGAGAGGGUCUGCCUUAGGGCCUGACUGCCCCAAAGUCAUGUCCAGGAGGAGGAAAGGGCAGGAGACGACUCUGCCAGUUGUCCAGGCCUUGACCAGCAGCAGGGCACCCAAUUCAAUUUGCUUAUCUCCCUUCCUGCCUCCCUCUUCCCUGUGCUUUUCAAUUACAGGCAGAGUCAGUAUCUUUUCUAGUAAGUACAAAGAUGUCAAAGGGUCUGAGUGAGCCAGAGAAGAAGGAUGUCCUUGGUGGCCCUCCACACUGACCAGUACAAGUCUUGGAGCCGAAGGAUGGACGAGUCCAGGUCGUCAUGCCUCGCCCUGCCUCCAGCCAGCUGCACAGGAGCAGUCAUGGGUGAGAACACACAUUCUUUGAGCCAGUAAGUCCACCAUGGAAGAAUGUAUGUUUUUUCACAGA